rnacentral:rRNA from 1 species
AUUGAACGCUGGCGGCAGGCCUAACACAUGCAAGUCGAACGAGUGGCGGACGGGUGAGUAAUGUCUGGGAAACUGCCCGAUGGAGGGGGAUAACUACUGGAAACGGUAGCUAAUACCGCAUACCAUCGGAUGUGCCCAGAUGGGAUUAGCUUGUAGGUGAGGUAACGGCUCACCUAGGCGACGAUCCCUAGCUGGUCUGAGAGGAUGACCAGCCACACUGGAACUGAGACACGGUCCAGACUCCGACGGGAGGCAGAAGUGGUGAAUAUGGCACAGUGGGCGCAAUCCUGAUGCAGCCAUGCCGGGUGGAUGAAGAAGGCCUUCGGGUUGGUAAGUACUUUCAGCUGGGAGGCGUUACCCGCAGAAGAAGCACCGGCUAACUCCGGGCCAGCAGCCGCGGUAAUAC